GUAGGAACCCCUCACCCUGGAGCUGGGGGCAGCGAGAGGUGCCCUGGACUCUGGACGUGGGCCCGGUCAGUCCCGACUCUGGGAUGAGCUUUGUCACCCCCAGAGGAUGCCUCCGCGGCACCGCACUUGGUAGCGUAGUGUGUUUCUGGCAAGUAUCUUGAAUAAUAAUUGUUGUAAAUGAAAUCGCAUCCUCCACACACUGAAGUUAUAGCUUCGAAGAGUUUGGCCUUAACUUCUGGGUGACACUCAGUUAUCAGCUCCAUGCCUCCUAUUUCAGUCCUUUAUUUCCCGGCCUAAGGCUGUAGGCGCUAAAGUGCCCUUACAGAAAGGCUGUGGCCGUCUCCCUGAUAAUAGAGAUGUUAUCUCCUUUCCUUGGAAAACAGAGUUUAGGAGCAGGAAAGUGCUGUAGAGGUCCUUUAGCUCCAUCUCUUCACAGAUGGGGAAACUGAGGCCCACCAGGGUACAUGCAUGUUCAAGGUUACGUGGUGUUUAGAUUCUUCUGGGGAAGGAUCAUCAUGUGUUCCAAUCCACAGUCUAAUACACUGUCCUCCUGUCCUGGAGCGGCUCAAACUUUGCACUAAUAGUUUUCUUAUUUAUUAAUUAAAAAUAGAAGCGAUGCAUAGCAGGAUCAGCCGUUGGAAUGCCGCUUCCGUGUCUUUUCUAAGUUCAUGUAUGUAAUCUUAGUAGGGGUUGUAUUUCACAGCCCGUUCCUCUCAGAGCAGGCAAGGAGGCAGGAGGAAGUGCUUCAGAAAAUCCUGCAAAAGCAGAGCCUUGCAGCCCAAGAGCAGUUUAGGCCACAGGUGGGUGUAGAGCCGUCUGGUUCCCUGUUACCUCCCCUCUGCUCCAGGGUGGGCACCCUGACCUCGACUUUGACGUAAUUGGGCUUCUCUGAGCCUGUGUAUUCUCUGUCGGGGCAGCAGGGAGGACACCUGCGCACCCGUCUUCCUCCUCUCAGGGUGUAAGGACCAGCAGAUGCUGGGGUGUGUCCUGUGCUGUCUGCAGGGCGGGGCUCUGUAGACCCUGAGAGGAGGAAGUGGCAAGGCUUUCACCAUCUCAGCUCAUCUGUGCAAGCCUCCAUUGGUUUGGGGGUGUUAGCCCACUUGUAAGGUGAGGACUGCCUGGGUGACUUAAUUGGGUUACACAGCUCAGAGGUGGCCUUGAGCCCAUCCUCUUACCCAAAGGCCCCCUUCCUCCACUCGACUAAGGGAGCUGUUUAACAUAGUGACUGGGGCCUCAGGCUCUGGGACUCAACAGCUGACUUCACCUACCGUUUCCUCAUCCGUAAAAUGGGCAUCCUUGCAGAACUCCUUCCCAACAGUGUUUUUUUUAUUUUUUUUUUAUUAUUUUUUUUUGCGGUACGCGGGCCUCUCACUGCUGUGGCCCCUCCCGUUGCGGAGCACAGGCUCCGGACGCGCAGGCUCGGCGGCCAUGGCUCACGGGCCCAGCUGCUCCGCGGCAUGUGGGCUCUUCCGGGACCGGGGCACGAACCCGUGUCCCUUGCAUCGGCAGGCGGACUCUCAACCACUGCGCCACCAGGGAAGCCCCCCAACAGUGUUCUGAGGGAAGGUUGAGAUAGUGCAUUUACGUCGUCUGGCACACGCUGACUGCUUGGUAAAUGUCAGGUGUUAGGCUCGAGGUCGUUAGCAACCAGGUUUUGCAGGGGGAUGGGCAAGUCUCAGCCGUUGGAGGCUGCUUUGAAAUACCCGUGCUUGCACCUGCCCUGGGCCUGCUGGAUCAGAGGUUCAUUGCCUUGGUGAAGGGAGCAGGAGGCAGGUUGAAAACCUUCCAGGUCGUCUGAUGCUCCGCUGACAACAGCCCUGGCUCUGGGCUUCACCGCUCAGUGUCCCAGAGCCCUUCUCCUCGCAGUGGGCUCUGUGGACCAGCUUUCAGCACCUUAGGCCCCAUCCCCGGAUCCUCUGCAUCAGAGUCUGCAUCUUAAAAAGCUCCGCAAGAGAUUCAUAAGCACAUAGAAGUUUGAGAAACACUGUUAAGGUUAAAAAACAUGGUGAUAAGAAAACCAAACACACAGAGCCACACCCCCUGACUUGUUUAGGAAAGGGUGGUUCCCUGGUUGUUGUUUAGCAACCACAGAGUAAGCAACCAUGUUGCAGUAACUGAUAUUUCUGAUCUGUGUUUGUUUAAAGGAGGCCGGGGGGACGUAAGCAGGAGAUAAGGGCGGCUAACCUGGGAACUGGGAGCCGGGACAGGGCUGGGCAGGGAAGACUGCAGCCGACUUCAGAGUCAGAACAGGGUUAAAUAGAGGCCCGGGGGUCGGCUCAGGCCGAGUGGCCAAGCGUCACGGCUUUCUGCAGUUUUCUGGGCUGGGGUAGACGUGCUGGCCCUCGGGGCUCCCUCGCCUGCCCAUCCAGGCGCAUCCAGACCUCUGGCUACCAGUAUCCGGGCAGGAGCUCUGAGACGCGGCUGCCAGCUGGCCGCUCCUCCUUCUCCAGGCUGUUCUCUGGGCUUCAGAUUUCUCGCUGCCUCUUUCCUGCACUGACCUUGCAGCUUUCCCUUCCCUCCAGACAGGGGCGGCUGCCAGGUGAGAAAGAAAUUCUUGCAAGGCCAAGGACAGGACAGCAGGAGGAGAAAGCGGAAUGGUUCUCCGGGCCGUCUGUGGAUUUGGGCGCGAGCGCACAUAAAGGGACAGCGGAAGAGGAAGCUGAGGGCUGCUCAUGUGGUCCCUUGGUCCUUCAGUUAAAGUUCCAAUGAUGGGAAUGUCUGGUGUCCUAUAGAACUGGUGCAGACACUGUUGCUGGAACCUCAUCUUGGUUUGGCCACUAACCAGGGCCAUCUUGGAGAUGGAUCUCAAGAGAGAUGGGGAAGGGGCAAAGGGCAAAGUGAGAGGAGGGGGUCGAUGUCAGAGUCAGGGGCAGGUCUGGCCCCUUGAUAUAGGGGAUGGUAAAGGGAUGUGGGAAGGUCUGCAGGGCCUUUGCAGAAGCCCUGCUAUUUCUUUAAACCUCAGUGUCCCUAUCUGUAUAACUAGACUGUAGCCUCAUUGUUGAGGAUUUUGUUAAUCCUUUAUCGGUAGAAUACUUGCUAUAUAAUAAGUGCCGUAUAAUAAUUAUUACUGUUCCUUCGUCAGUCUUCCCACACCCCAGACUGGGCCCCGGUCCCCCCACCUAUGUCUGAGAACCCGUGUUGCUUUCCUCCCGCUUCCUCUGCCUUUCCUUCAAAGCAUUGGCCUUGGCAGGAAACUGGAGAAUGGGAGAGCCAUGGAGUAGGAGUCGAGCGUAUCAAGCCCUACAGCCUUGGUCAGAGCAGAAGGCCAGAGAAAUUAAACCCUCUGGUGCAUUUGUGACAGGUCCAAGGCCUCUCGCCUUUCCUGCAUGUCAGCUGCUUCAAAUUUGAGGCUGAAACCUAGCCAAGAAGUUAGGCUAACCUUGGCGAGGCUGCGGUGUGUAAUUGCUACCCGUCAGCCCUGGAGCCAGGGAGCCUGGUGCCUGCCCGGCUCCCCGCUUUCCCACCACGGGACCUUCACCUUCCUGAGCUUCAGCUUGUCUAUCUGCAAAAUGAGGGGGGGUGCUAUGAUAGUAGCAGUCUUUUCAGGGCUCUUGUCUGGAUUCAGUGAGAGCCAAUGCACAGAAGCGCUUAGCUCCGUGCUGGGCACCUGCUAGCAUUCCGCGUUUGCUGCUAUUAGCAAUAUUCCAUAAUGAUAGCUGCACUUAUGUAGUGCAUUAUAGGAGAUAGGCAUUUUCCUAAACAUGUUUUCAAUGUUAACUCAUUUUAUCCUUUUAACAGCCCUAUGGUGUAGGUACCACUAAUACCCCCAUUUCCGAUGAGGAAACUGAGGUACAGAGAGGUUAAAUAAUUUUUUUUGAAAAUGUUUAUUUAUUUAUUUAUUUUAUUUUGGCUGCACUGGGUUUUAGUUGCGGCACACGGGAUCUUUUAGUUGUGGCAUGCGUGCGGCAUCUAGUUCCCUGACCGGGGAUCAAACCCAGGCCCCCUGCAUUGGGAGCAUGGAGUCUUACCCACUGGACCUCCAGGGAAGUCCCAGAGAGGUUAAAUAAUUGUUCAGAGUAAGGGUUGAGCUGGGAUUCAAACUCAGCCAGUUGGUUCCAGAGUCCGUGUUUUUGAUCACUGUGCUGUAGCAGUGAUUAGUGAUCAUUUUGUGCUUGGAGCCCAGUUGACAAGGGAAGAGCAGAGGAAGAAGUGAGGGGGCAGUGAUGUCUCCUCCCAAAGUUCCAGCCAUCAUGCAAGACCAAGGCCUGCUGCUCCGAUGGUCCCGGCCACCCGUGCUUUGUGGACGAGACUGGCCUCCGUCAUAGAGUGGGCAGCUCCAAGCGCACGGCUGCACUGGGACCUCCCUGGGGGCUGGUGCCACCUUGCCCUGCUCCUGCAGCAGAAUGGCCCACCUCUAGCAAGUGGCGUCGUCCUUGCGUACGGGGCAGGCUCCUGACCCACUGAAGCAGAAAAGCCAAGCUGCUCAGGAGGGAGAGGGAAGCUACGCGACUGUAACAUUUUCCUGAGAACAAGGUGGCUGUUUCUUGCCAGGCAGGAAGCGUUUGAUAACCUAGAAGUGUGUUUCCCUCCUGCAUCGCAGCCGCCUGAGCCGUGUCUGAUCCUUCCUUGUUCCUUGUCUGUCUUCCCCAUGUGCCCCAGGCACGCAGGCGCUUGGAAUAUGCUCACGGCGGCUGUGUGCAUGGCCCUGCUGGGCUGCCUGCAGGCCCAGGAGCUCCAGGGACACGUCUCCGUAAUCCUGCUGGGAGCCACCGGGGACCUGGCCAGAAAGUACCUAUGGCAGGGGCUGUUCCAGCUGUACCUGGAGGAGGCGGGGAAGGGCCACAGUUUUCGCUUCCACGGGACUGCUCUGACGAGCACCAAGCAGGGCCAGGAGGUCAUAGCCAAGGUCCUGGAGUCCCUCUCCUGCCCCAGGGACACAGCUCCCGGUCGCUGCGCUGAACUCAAGGCUCAGUUCCAGCAGCUGAGCGAGUACCGCCGCCUGAAGACACCUGAGGACUAUCUGGCCCUGAGCAAGGACAUUGAGGCCCGGGUCCAGCACGAAGGCCUCCGGGAGGCCGGCAGGAUUUUCUACUUCUCGGUGCCACCCUUCGCCUAUGCAGAGAUUGCCCGCAGCAUCAGCAGCAGCUGCCGCCCAGGCCCAGGUGCCUGGCUGCGCGUUGUCCUUGAGAAACCCUUCGGCCAUGACCACCGCUCAGCCCAGCAGCUGGCCACAGAACUUGGGAGCUUUUUCCAAGAGGAGGAGAUGUACCGGGUGGACCAUUACCUGGGCAAGCAGGUGGUGGCCCAGAUCCUGCCUUUCCGAGACCAGAACCGCAAGGCCCUGGACGGCCUCUGGAACCGGCACCACGUGGAGCGGGUGGAGAUCAUCAUGAAGGAGACCGUGGACGCAGAAGGUCGCACCAGCUUCUACGAGGAGUACGGCGUCAUCGGUGAUGUCUUGCAGAACCACCUGACCGAGAUCCUCAUGCUGGUGGCCAUGGAGCUGCCCCUCAACCUCAGCAGCUCGGAGGCGGUGCUGGAGCACAAGCUCCAGGCCUUCCGGGCCCUGCGGGGCCUGCAGAGGGGCAGUGCUGUCGUGGGCCAGUACCAGGCUUACCGCGGGCAGGUGCGCAGAGAGCUGCAGAAGCCAGACAGCUUCCACAGCCUGACGCCGACCUUUGCAGGCGUCCUCGUGCACAUAGACAACCUUCGCUGGGAGGGUGUCCCUUUCAUCCUGAUGUCUGGCAAAGCCUUGGAUGAGAGAGUGGGCUACGUUCGGAUGUUGUUCAAGGACCAGGCGUACUGUGCCCAGAGCGAGAAGCGCUGGGUCCCGGCCCAGAGCCACUGCCUUCCUCAGCAGAUCAUCUUCUACAUUGGCCAUGGUGAGCUGGGCGGCCCAGCCGUGCUGGUCAGCAGAAACCUGUUCAGGCCCUCCCUGCCCUCCGCCAGCUGGAAGGAAGUGGAGGGCCAGCCUGGGCUUCGCCUCUUUGGCCGCCCUCUGUCUGAUUACUACGCCUACAGCCCUGUGAGGGAGCAGGACGCCUACUCCAUCCUCAUCUCUCGUAUCUUCCACCGCCGGAAGGACUCCUUCAUCACCAUGGAGAACUUGCUGGCUUCCUGGGUCUUCUGGACGCCCUUGCUGGACAGCCUGGCCCACGAGGUCCCACGCCUCUACCCAGGAGGAGCAGAGAAUGGACACCUGUUGGACUUUGAGUUCAGUGGCAGCCACUUGUCCUUCUCCCAGCCACCACUGGAGCAGCUGGUGCUGGGGCCGGAUUCCGCUCCGAUGCCCAGCGACUUCCAGGUUCUCAGGGCCAAGUACCGAGGCAGCCCGCUGAUAUCGGCCUGGCCGGAGGAGCUGAUCGCCAGGCUGGCCGGCGACAUCGAGGCUGCAGCUGUGCAGGCUGUGAAGCGCUUUGGCAAGUUCCACCUGGCACUCUCAGGUGGCUCGAGCCCCGUGGCCCUGUUCCAGCAGCUGGCCAUGGGGCACUAUGGCUUCCCCUGGGCCCACACACACCUAUGGCUGGUGGACGAGCGCUGCGUCCCGCUCUGGGACCCUGAGUCCAACUUCCAGGGCCUGCAGGCUCACCUGCUGCAGCACGUGCGUGUCCCCUACUACAACGUCCACCCCAUGCCCGUGCACCGGCGCCAGCGGCUCUGCGCCGAGGAGGACCAGGGCGCCCAGGCCUAUGCCGAGGAGAUCUCCACCCUGGUGACCAACAGCAGCUUCGACCUGGUGCUGCUGGGCAUGGGCACCGACGGGCACACGGCCUCCCUCUUCCCUCAGUCCCCCGUCGGCCUGGAUGGCAAGCAGCUGGUGGUGCUGACCACGAGCCCCUCCAGCCCGCACCGGCGCAUGAGCCUCAGCCUGCCCGUCAUCAACCGCGCCCACAAGGUGGCGGUGCUGGUCAUGGGCCGGAUGAAGCGCGAGAUCGCCGUGCUGGUGAGCCGCGUGGGCCGCGAGCCCCGGAAGUGGCCCAUCUCGGGCGUCCUGCCUGACUCUGGGCAGCUGGUGUGGUACAUGGACUAUGACGCGUUUCUGGGGUGACGGUUGCCUCUGCCCUUCGCUCACCCCCGCGCCUUCCUUCACCCGCCCUCUCUCCGCCCUCUCAGUCCUGCCCCAGCCCGCGUGCCCUGCUGUCUGGAAUCUGAUGCCUCGUGGUCAGGCUCCCGGAGACGAAGGACAAAGGCCUUCCCCAGCCCCCGUGACCGUCCCUGCCUAGUGGUGGCGGGUACACACCGGAACAAGGAAGAAAUGGAAUCUCUGCCCUUGAGAAGCUUCAAAUCCAAGUCAGGAGAGAAAUGUCCACCUUAAGAAAAGACCUGCAGCAGCUACAUGCGGACACCAACCAGCGCAAAAUAGGACGGUCUGAAAGCUCCCCGCGCGAGCAGGAAUGUGGUGGGCCGAGGUUAAUGGGGGGUUUCCUGCGGGCCGGGCCCCUUCGACCAGCUCUGGUGGAAAAGCAGAACGUGGACGGUAGAGAGCAGGAGCCCAGGCGCCAGUGGCCCUGUGCCCCCCCCACAGCAGGCUGCCGGGAGCCCUCAGCUCUGCUCCAUCCCCUUCCUCCUGAGCCUCUGACUCAGCUGCUGUCCUGUCUCCUCCGGGGCCACCUCCACCUGCUCUGCAUCUCGGGUCUCUUUCUUUUCAGUCCCGACCAUGGAGAUCUUCCCACCCCCUCUCUGUUUCUUUGCUGUCCCUCAGACGCCCCAUUUAUGGACAGAUGAUGAUGACAGUAACACGGUGACAAACAAGGUGUUAAAAUGGAUCCAGAAAUCGUGCGACUGGUUUGCAGCUCCUUUCCUCAGUAGAUGGAUUUCUCUGAUGGCAGGAGGCUCUGCUUCCCCAGCUCUGUCGGGGAAGACCACUGCCCCCAUGCUUGCGCUCCUGUCCCCAGCCAACUCUGCGUGAAACACACUGGAGAUAGACGAUCAGGCCAUUCCAGGGAUCCCACGUUUAGGAGGGUCCUUUGUGUCUCAGGGGACUUCCCAGUGAGUGUUUCCACUCUCGGUGUCCCCUCUUGUUUUACCUGGGAAGAUCCAGUUGAAUCUUUCUCUGACGGUGACAUCUCAUUUGGGGGGAGAGCUGUGACAUCAGGUGAUCGCGACCAUCCAGGUGCUCUGAUCUGACCAGGCUGAGCCAGGCCUCCCUGGUGGGGCCCUGCAGCUCAUGUCAGCACUGGCUGCCCACGACCGUCUCAGGGACUUGACUGAUGGUCAGCGCCGAGGGCGGCUGCCGCCUGCCCUUCUCAUACUACCUCGUGGCGGCAUCGGCCUCCUGUCUGCCGGUCCCUCCUGCCAGCGCUCACCUCACCACUAACGCGUUGCUGAAGAUCUGGGGGACACCAGCAAGCUUCUCGUUAAGAGCAGAAAUACGUGCCACCUGCAGGAGCAGCUUCUGCGUCAGCUUUACCAGCUCUGUUCUUAUCCUUAGGAGACGGGCCCUGCGGACCUCAGCCCAUUGGUAGAGAAGUUGCCGGGCAGCGUGUCCGUGUCAGAGAAUGAGCAGGUCACAGGAAAGGCCAGUGGUGACACGAGGGGGAGCUGGCCGUGGCGGCAGGCCCACGUGAUCAGCGCCUGCCUGCCCCGCAGACAUAGACUCCGGGGAGCGGGGAGGCCCUGGGAGGCUGCCCGUGUGGCCCACGUGGCCCACCAGGGGCCGUGCCUGCUGAGCGGAAGAGCAGCCCCAUGCCCUCAGCCCUCCCGUGGCGCUGCUCUGGGCACCGCAGACCUCGGGGCUGCAGCUGAGCACGUGGUGCUCGAGGCGCUCACUUUGUUCAGGGCGAUUUCCAUGAGGAGGAGGGUGGUUCCUCCAGCCUCAUCCACAUUUGGUAGCUGCUCAGAGCCUGGGACGAAGAGCUCUCGGAGGCCCCGAGCAUCUUGGUCGCAGUCACGAAUUCGAUCCUCUAAUAACCCACCCCUCUGCCCCCGUGGACUGGCCAGUGUCGGCCCAGGUGUCAGCCUGCCGUCCGAGGUCCAUCUUCCGUUGGUCACUUGAAGUUUCAGGUUGGGCGCCAGUGUGUGCUUUGUGGUCCUUUGCUAGGUAGUGUCCACAUGAGAUGAAAAUCCCGCUUCCCUUCCUGCUCUAGAGCAGGCUGCUGCCUCCUGUGUAGAUCAGCCUUCGCCGGAGGAAGCCAGCCACACACGCCAGCCUGUGUUCCCGGAGGACAUGCGUCUUCCAGGACAUCCCGGGACCCUCUUCUAGGGGCGCGCACUCCCGGCCUCGCACUGUCAGCAGCUCGAGGUGGGGCCGGAGUGAGAAACUCCCAGGAUUCCGAGGCUCAUUGCGAAGCAAGGCGCAGACUUAACUGAAGCUGUUGUCAGCACCAGAGAGGAGUAGCCAGAGAUUUGAGGAGGUGCUUCUGAUAGCACAGCCAGCCAGGGAAAAUGACCCCUUUGAUGAAACUUCCUCUCCAGCCAACUUUUGGGAGAGCCCAUCUGUUUGCAAAGCGAGUCCCCAGCGCUGUGUGUGUGUGUGUGUGUGUGUGACCCACAGAAGGGGAAGGGCGGGGAUCUAGGUGAAGUACACUGCUUUUAUUCUUGAUUCCCAGGAUGGUCUUUGUUUAAAACUCUUACCUUCCUCUCAGGUGUUUUAAAAGAAGUCUCUGCAUCUUUUCUGUCCCUCCAGCGUGGGAAGGGAUAAACACGUUUUCACUCACUGAAAGCUGCAUGGAGUAUGUUUGAACGGCGAGUAGCUUUGAAAGUGGAAGUGUAAACAGAACUACAUAUAUCUGUCAGUUUGGGUCUUUAGCUGUACCCCCACAGAAGUCUAGACUUGAGUAUGAGAGGAAAGGACCCUGGAGGAGCUGGUAGUCAAGGGCCCAGUUGCAUCCACUUCUCCGAGAUGUGGCCUGUACACUCUGCCCCUCCUGGCCCUUCAUGUGGGAGAACGGGCUGAGAACAGACACCGUGGGCCCUCUGCUGGGUCCAAGAGCCGUCGCUGCCCAUGGCUGAGUGAAGGGCCUCGUCUCCAGCACGUUGGCGCCGUGCUUAGCAGCGAGUGCCAGAAUGAGACCUAGAUUAGGGCGGGGGGUGGGCGUGUGGGCACUGAAAUCAGGGCAUGUUGCAAUCUGGGUCGUGUCCGUGCGUGCUGUCCCGAGCUGGGAGAGCCAGCACAGCACGAACUUUCGCCGGGAGAGAAGAGAGACAGGAAGACUCUUUUCUCAGAGGGCCUGUCUGUUCCCUCGUGUGCUGGGAGACCGUGGACGUGAACACCUCCACCCCCGCCCGCCGCCAGUGGCAAGAACAUGUCAUGCCUUUCUGCAGAGACAGAAACCGCCCCUGUUUUUAUGGAAAUACUGCACACUUUUAACGAUGCCUCUGACAAUGAGACAUAUUCAGAACAGAGUUUUUAAAAUGCCUUUUUGUAUGUCGAAUGUACCAUGUAUUCUUUUAAACAAUGAAAUCGUU